rnacentral:rRNA from 1 species
AACGAACGCUGGCGGCAGGCUUAACACAUGCAAGUCGAACGCCCUGCAAGGGGAGUGGCAGACGGGUGAGUAACGCGUGGGAACAUACCCUUUCCUGCGGAAUAGCUCUGGGAAACUGGAAUUAAUACCGCAUACGCCCUACGGGGGAAAGAUUUAUCGGGGAAGGAUUGGCCCGCGUUGGAUUAGCUAGUUGGUGGGGUAAAGGCCUACCAAGGCGACGAUCCAUAGCUGGUCUGAGAGGAUGAUCAGCCACAUUGGGACUGAGACACGGCCCAAACUCCUACGGGAGGCAGCAGUGGGGAAUAUUGGACAAUGGGCGCAAGCCUGAUCCAGCCAUGCCGCGUGAGUGAUGAAGGCCUUAGGGUUGUAAAGCUCUUUCACCGAUGAAGAUAACGACGGUAGUCGGAGAAGAAGCCCCGGCUAACUUCGUGCCAGCCGCCGCCGUAAUAC